ACAACAUGGCUAUCGGCGAUUAUCCUGCGGAAUAUAAUCCGAAGGUCCAUGGACCGUACGAUCCGGCACGCUUUUAUGGAAAGCCCGAUACCCCGUU
rfam:Anopheles stephensi strain SDA-500 unplaced genomic scaffold supercont1.14, whole genome shotgun sequence.